rnacentral:rRNA from 1 species
CCUACGGGAGGCAGCAGUGGGGAAUUUUGGACAAUGGGGGGAACCCUGAUCCAGCCAUUCCGCGUGUGCGAUGAAGGCCUUCGGGUUGUAAAGCACUUUUGGCAGGAAAGAAAUCGCACGGAUUAAUACUUUGUGUGGAUGACGGUACCUGCAGAAUAAGCACCGGCUAACUACGUGCCAGCAGCCGCGGUAAUACGUAGGGUGCAAGCGUUAAUCGGAAUUACUGGGCGUAAAGCGUGCGCAGGCGGUUCGGAAAGAGAGGUGUGAAAUCCCAGGGCUUAACCUUGGAACUGCACUUUUAACUCCCGAGCUAGAGUAUGUCAGAGGGGGGUGGAAUUCCGCGUGUAGCAGUGAAAUGCGCAGAUAUGCGGAGGAACACCGAUGGCGAAGGCAGCCCCCUGGGAUGAUACUGACGCUCAUGCACGAAAGCGUGGGGAGCAAACAGGAUUAGAUACCCUGGUAGUCCACGCCCUAAACGAUGUCAACUAGCUGUUGGGGGCUUCGGCCCUUAGUAGCGCAGCUACGCGUGAGUGACCGCCGNGGGAGGUACGGUCGUCGAGAGUUAAACGUACGAAGAAGUAGAGGCGNGAGACGNGCGACGGACGACGACGAGGGAGGAGG